rnacentral:lncRNA from 1 species
UAAUUCUUGGGCAUCACGUUAAGCAAAGACCAGCGCUGCUCUAAGCUGGAAAGUAUUAGAAGCUUCCUGACUCUCUUUGACUCUUCACCUUCCCAAUUCCCAUUUCUCAGGGGGGAAAAACUUUGCACAUUUCCAUGUUCUCUUCUUGUCAUUGAUUCUCUCUCCUUUUCUACAACUCACACCACGUUCUCUCUCUACGCAACAGCAAAACUCAGGUAUAUAUUUUGUAGUAUAUUUGUAUAGGUCCAUGUAAGAAUUCGUAAACGCUUUGAUUUCUAUUGGUACCUGAAGUGACUUUAAGGUGAUAUUUCUGAGAUUUUGUAGCGUUAGUAGUAUAGCUGUGUUAAUUUAUGGCGAAUUUAUGGAUGCUUUUGUUUCUGUUGAUAGGUGAACAAAAGGCAAGGUGAGAUCGCUUAAAUUGAACGCAAAAUGCAGAGAGUAACAGUGAUCGAGAGAUUUUCGAAAACUUUCCGUGAUAAUCCUUCGCUUUCUAAGCUGCUCAUUGUUUUCACCGUCAGGUUCCUCUUCGUAGCUCUCCUAUAUUUUGGUACUAUGUUAACAUAAUCAGCUUUGAUUAUUAGGUUGCUUGUUUCGGAGUUUGAAUUUGCAUUAGUUCUCUAAUUUUCAGCUAAAUUUAAUUCUCUUAAUCUCGUAAUUAGUUACGUUUAUGGCAGUUAAUAUGAAGAAAACAACGUAAAUGAUUAUGCACGUUGC